GUUGGUUGUGUGUUAGUCUAGCCUAGGGUCCUUGGUUCAAGUCCUCAAGUGUGUUUUGAGGGAACUAUUUUGAUUUAGCUUUGUUUUGGUUUUAAAAGGUUAUAGUUAUUUUUAUUUGUGUUACUUUUUUUACUUUUUUUUUUGGUUUUGGGAAAAAAAGGGGAAAAGUAACAAAAAAACAUGUUCCUCUUUUUCCCCUCUCCC
rnacentral:lncRNA from 1 species